GGGAUCCAACCAGGCUUUCUCCCUAGCUUUAGAAAUACGGCAAGUCUUAAAAUCGGAGUCUGAGAUUUAGAGAUGGAACACAUGCAGUCCAACCCCCUUAUUUUACAAAUGAGGAAACUGCAGUGGAAAAGACACUUAGAUCUGGGGUCGGAAGACCCACAAGACCCAUGUUCAAACCCUGUUGUGCUUCUUACUGUGUAACCUUGGGCAAAGUCCUUUCUGCUUUCUGGAUCUGUUCCGUUAUCGCAAACCAUUUCCAUACUUGCACUGCCCUGUGAAGACGGGCUACCUUCAGGAGGAAGCAGGGUCGACUGAGCAAGAAUUUGGCUGCCCCCGAAGAGCAGGAAGAGAACGCUGAGAGUUCAGGACAGAGGCAGAAGCAGAAGCUGCUGCGGCAGAAACCAAGGUAGAAGGAAAAGGCUGAGGCCAAAGGCCCCAUGUUUCGCGGCAGCAGCAUCACUGUUUUCCAGUUGACGGGAGUCUUCUGAGCCCCUUAUUGACUCUAGGAGCUCUCGGAUAAUGGAGGAGAUCAGGGGCAGGAGCAUAAGCAUCAAAACAGAAGGAAAUCAACAUUCUGUCUACAUCUAUGGAGCCUAUAAAUGCUGUGGAAGAGGACAAGAUAUGGCGAUAUGUACGUUUGGUUGGUACCAGCCAGCACUCAGAUAAAAUGGCCUUAAUUGAUCUCUAGAGAGAAUAAAUCUGCCCUCAGACAAAUCUCA